rnacentral:snRNA from 8 species
AUACUUACCUGGCAAGGGAGACACUGUGAUCAAGAAUGCGGUUCACCCAGGGCGAGGCUCAACCAUUGCACUCGGCUGUGCUGACCCCUGCGAAUUUCCUAGAUGUGGAAAUCUCGAUUGCAUAAUUUCUGGUAGUGGGGGACUGCGUUCGCUCUCUCCCCUG